rnacentral:misc_RNA from 1 species
GAUGAAGAACGCAUCGAAAUGCGAUAAGUAGUGUGAAUUGCAGAAUUCAGUGAAUCAUCGAAUCUUUGAACGCACAUUGCGCCCCUUGGUAUCCCGAGGGGCAUGCCUGUUCGAGCGUCAUUUCACCACUCAAGCCUGGCUUGGUGUUGGGCGACGUCCCCUUUGGGGACGCGCCUCGAAACGCUCGGCGGCGUGGCACCGGCUUUAAGCGUAGCAGAAUCUUUCGCUUUGGAAGUCGGGGCCCCGUCUGCCGGAAGACCUACUCGCAAGGUUGACCUCGGAUCAGGCAGGGAUACCCGCUGAACUUAAGCAUAUCAAUAAGCGGAGGA